rnacentral:tRNA from 1 species
GUAGAUGUAGUUUAAUGUUAAGACAUUAGAUUGUGAUUCUAAAGACAGGGGUUAAACUCCCCUCAUCUACC